UACGUAGGGUGCAAGCGUUACUCGGAUUUAUUGGGCGUAAAGCGCAUGUAGGCGGUUUUAUAAGUCUGAUGUGAAAUCCCUGGACUCAAUUCAGGAACUGCAUUGGAUACUGUAAGACUAGAGUAUGAGAGAGGUAGGCGGAAUUCUUGGUGUAGAGGUGAAAUUCGGAGAUAUCAAGAGGAACAACAGAAGCGAAGGCGGCUUACUGGAUCAUUACUGACGCUGAGAUGCGACAGUGUGGGUAGCAAACAGG
rnacentral:rRNA from 1 species